rnacentral:misc_RNA from 1 species
CUGAUUCUCGAACACCCCCAAGAGGCGAACGCGAACAAGCAAGCAUCUCUGUGUGCUCUGCUGCUCAGAUUCCAACGUAAUCUGUGUUGUGUGCGCUGGCGACAGCGCGCGCGCAGGCCGAACCCAAACACGUUAGCAGGAGUGUGUUUUACGCCGGAUUUUCGCCCAGGCCACCACCCGACGGUCCACGCGGUAGGUAGGGACGCAGUGCGAGUGUUUGCUCGAAGGGUGCCGUUCAUCGGUGCCGUUUCGAAUGCGCAACACACGGCAGCAUCGUCGCGCGUCGGAUGGGCUGUGGAUCCGCUUGUUGAGAGAGAGAGAGACAGACCGACCAACCCAGCACGCGCGUGCGCGUGCGGCGCGGAGGGGAAGGAUAUACCCAAACCAGUGUUUUACAUUUGUUGCCUUAAACCGCAAAACCA